rnacentral:rRNA from 1 species
CCUACGUGUGGCUGCAGUGGGGAAUAUUGGACAAUGGGCGAAAGCCUGAUCCAGCCAUGCCGCGUGUGUGAAGAAGGCCUUCGGGUUGUAAAGCACUUUCAGUGGGGAAGAAAGCCUUGGGGCUAAUACCCUCGAGGAAGGACAUCACCCACAGAAGAAGCACCGGCUAACUCCGUGCCAGCAGCCGCGGUAAUACGGAGGGUGCGAGCGUUAAUCGGAAUUACUGGGCGUAAAGCGCGCGUAGGCGGUCUGAUAAGCCGGUUGUGAAAGCCCCGGGCUCAACCUGGGAACGGCAUCCGGAACUGUCAGGCUAGAGUGCAGUAGAGGAAGGUAGAAUUCCCGGUGUAGCGGUGAAAUGCGUAGAGAUCGGGAGGAAUACCAGUGGCGAAGGCGGCCUUCUGGACUGACACUGACGCUGAGGUGCGAAAGCGUGGGUAGCAAACAGGAUUAGAUACCCGUGUAGUC